GUUAUUAAGAAAAAAAUGACCAUUGAUGGUAUUGCACAGCAUAUGUGUGAUGUUGGAAUGUAAUUGGCUAUAUGAGCUUAUUUUCAUUGCAAGUGAUUUGUUUGGAUAUAUUGUGAAUUGAUUUAGGAGAGGGACAAAUUUGAUUUUGGAGAGGUUUACAUGUAAGACUAAGAUGUUAUCAUUUAUGUAGGAGAUUUACCCUUCAUUAGCAAGCAAGAAUUAAAAUCAGCAGGCAGUCUACAUCUAGCAUCCCUGAGUGUGGGAAAAUGUGCUAGAGGAGGAGUAUCUUCAUUAAAUAAAUAUUAGCAUGUUGAGCUCCUCUUCUUAUCUUGGUAAAUAAGUAGUGGGUAGUGGUGUAGAACCAGAAGACAAAGCGGCACAAAUAUCACUCUAGGGUUUUCUAAAAGUCUCUCAAUCAACUAUUCAUUCAUUCAAAAGCUGAAAAUGGUUCUUCUCCAAAGAGUAAAGAGUAAGGUAUUGCUCAAAAAAUGUGGAGUCAAGAUGACUAAACUCAUCCAUGGUGAUCCAUGUAUCAUCAGUGGCUGGGCAAUUCUUCCAUCGUACAAGAUAGCGACAAUAACCACCAUUGGAAGAACCAACAUCUUUAGUGUCAAGGACCUCCUCAAUCUGAUCAAGAUGAAAUUGCGAAGGUUGUGGAGGAUGAGGUACAGAAACUAGCACUGAUAGAGAAGGAAAACAUGUAGGCAAACUUGCUAACAAAGUGGCAGGCUCAAAAGUGCCUUGGUAAGGAAACAAAUCGUCAAUACUAAAUCUCCUAAAUAUUCUAGGUUUCCAAUUAACGAUUCUUGCGCCUAAAAUAUGUCUUCGUUCCUUUCCUUACUUGAUCUUCAUCAGGUAGUUUCUUCUUAUUACUGUUUUUAUCCAAAAAAAAAAAAGAAGAAAAAAAAAAAGCAGAAAGGUCAGGAUAGAAGCAGAUGGAUAAUCAUUUAGAAGUUUGCCUACGUAGCUUGCUGAAAACCCAACGAAUUCAAUUUGAUGGAGGAAACGGGCGUAUUCUGAUCAUGGUUAAAUCUUGCAAAAUCUGUUAUCUUUGUUCAGUAACUUUACUAAUCCACUUGAGUAUGGUAUGGGAAUUGAGAAUUGAAUGAGGCUGAUUCACAUGGCAGAUCUUUAGUGCUACCAUGAAAUAGUUAUUCUUUUCCAAUUGACCCUUGACUGGGUUACAUUCGGCUUGCAUGUGGGUAACUUAAUCUUUCCAUUCUUGCGACAAAAUUUUCUUAGCAAUGAUGAAAUCGGCUGUGCGGGGCACUUGUCAGCUCAAAAAUAUCAAACAGUUAUGUCUAUGUCAUGAUCUUGGACCAUGGUUAGUGAUGUGUAGUUGUUUGUGCUUUUCUCAAGUACCAAGUUGUCUUGAUUUAUAUAUUUUUUUUAAUCAACUAAUUGAUAUCCUCAGAGCUUCGCUGUGAUCUUAUGAAUAAUGUCUGCCAUAUUAUUUAAAGCUCUUGCUAGUGAUGAUCUUUUUGUGACUCAAUUAUAAACUACAGAUCACAAUUGGGGGGGGUAGUCUUACAUUUUCUCAUGAUGAACUAGAAUCUUCCUGUCACAUUUGGCAUUGACCAUUAUGUAAAACCAACAUUUUUAACAUUGGUUUUUGCUCCCGCUCUAAAAAAAAAAAAAAACCAUUGGUCUUUGCAGUCUCACCAGGUGUAUCCCAAUGGAAACUUCCGCACUUAAAUUUGGUGGUGGACUUUAAGAUAUUCAUAAAGCAGCUAAAAGAAGAAGACAAAAUUGAAAAAAAAAAAAAGAAAAAAGAAAAAACUAAUAUAUAUAUUGUAGAAAAUCUGAUUUUGGUAAGAGUUUUUGGAAUUUGCAACAAAGUAGGUUCAAAUCUCAAGCUAUGGGGCUUCAAAUUAAUGCUUAAAAGAAGAGAGAGAAUAAGAAUAAGGAAAUAGAUUUGGAAUUUUUUUAAUCUUCAGUAGCUUUCCCUGAACUAUAUAUUUCCAUUUUCAAUAUAUAUCAUUAGUUUUUCAACUUAAUUGGUGUCUAAGUGAGUUACUCGAAGCUUAAACUUGUGUGAGAAAACAUUCCUUUAGUGAAAAAGAUGCAGUUAUGAUGGCAUGACUUUAAUAAAUUUGAGAACUAAAAGCCAAACACAAUCUUGCUUAAGAAGAUGGUGGUUCACCCUUUGGGAACUCAUUCUAUUUGAGCAUUCAUGAAAAUGAGGCCUGAGACAACUAUUCUUAUCUUGUCGGUACAGUAAAAAUGUGUAGGCAUUCAGGAACUGUGGAUUGUGGAAAGCCAAAGUUUAGGUCAUAUGUGUUGAGUAGAGUGUUCCCCCCAACAACAAUAAUUCCAAGUCAUUGGGAACUGUUAUCUGUGAUAUUGCAAAUAUGAUGGAUUUGAUGUACAAGCAUAGAAUGGUGAUGGUGAUGCUUAUAUUUAUGUGAUCAGACUGACAAUCGCACCAGGAGGGAGUAACAGGAAAAGUUUCUACACUUGGCAAGACUAGUAACUUGCAACAUGUUCCUCAGUUAAAUGUUUUCAGUAUUAUCUCUAUUAUACCUCUACUUGGGUCAGAUCUAUCAUCAUCAAUUUGUUUUUAGAUCAAUAUUAAAGAUUUUGC